GUCGGGAAGGAGGCGGUGGAGGCGGCGGCGGCGGCGGCGCGGUGGAUAGAAGGGGCGCGAGCCGUUGGGCGGCGGUCGCGGGUCGGGCUGUGUGGCGGGCGCCAUGAAGGAGAUGUGCGGUACUUCUAGGCUGCAGAACCAGCCUCAAAGGCACUAUGGAAUCACCUCUCCCAUUAGCUUGGCUCCUCCAAAGGAUAUAGAUUGUGUUCAGACUCAAAAGCUAGUUGAAGCAAUGAGACCAUUUGGAGUAUUUGAAGAUGAGGAAGAACAGAAUCACAGGCUGGUUGUUCUUAGUAAACUGAAUAACUUGGUCAAAGAAUGGAUUUCAGAACUUGGUGAGAGCAAGAAUCUUCCCCCUUCAGCAGUAGCAAAUGUCGGUGGCAAAGUAUUUACAUUUGGUUCUUACAAGCUUGGAGUGCACACUAAAGGUGCUGACAUAGAUGCUGUUUGUGUUGCUCCUAGACAUGUCGAAAGAUCGGAUUUUUUUCAGUCAUUCUUUGAAAAACUAAAACAUCAGGAGAAAAUAAAAAAUCUAAGAGCAGUUGAAGAUGCAUAUGUGCCAGUUGUCAAGUUUGAGUUUGAUGGCAUUGAGAUUGAUCUUGUGUUUGCAAGGCUGUCUAUGCAAACUGUUUCUGAUAACCUUGAUCUUGGAGACGACUCGCGUCUGAGAAGCCUGGAUAUAAGAUGUAUACGGAGCUUAAAUGGCUGCAGAGUUACGGAUGAAAUACUACAUCUAGUGCCAAAUAAAGAGAACUUCCGGCUCACGCUCCGUGCAAUUAAACUGUGGGCAAAACGUCGUGGCAUUUACUCCAACAUGCUGGGAUUUCUUGGUGGGGUUUCUUGGGCAAUGCUAGUAGCAAGAACAUGUCAACUCUAUCCAAAUGCUUUGGCUUCUACUCUUGUUAACAAGUUCUUCUUGGUUUUUUCAAAAUGGGAAUGGCCAAAUCCUGUAUUGCUGAAACAACCUGAAGAAAGCAAUCUUAAUUUACCAGUAUGGGACCCUAGGGUGAACCCAUCAGACAGGCACCAUGUAAUGCCUAUCAUCACCCCAGCCUAUCCACAGCAGAACUCUACAUACAAUGUAUCUAUAUCAACGCGAGCGGUAAUGGUGGAGGAGUUCAAACAUGGUCUUGCAGUUACAAAUGAGAUUCUCCAAGGAAAAUCAGACUGGUCAAAGCUGUUUGAACCACUGAACUUCUUUCAGAAGUACAAGCAUUAUAUUGUGCUGACUGCUAGUGCCUCUACUGAAGAGCACCACUUAGAGUGGGUUGGCCUUGUUGAAUCUAAAAUCCGUGUGCUGGUCGGAAACUUAGAGAGGAAUGAAUUUAUAACUAUUGCACAUGUAAAGCCACAGUCUUUUCCUGGCAACCAAGAACUCUGUGAACAGAGUGGAUAUGUGUCAAUGUGGUUUCUUGGAAUCGUAUUUAGGAAAGUGGAAAAUGCAGAAAGUGUUAACAUUGAUUUAACAUACGUUAUACAGUCGUUCACAGAUACAGUUUACAGGCAGGCUAGCAACCUCAAUGUGCUAAAGGAAGGUAUGAAGAUUGAGGCAGCUCAUGUGAAGAGAAAGCAUCUCCACUAUUUUUUGCCUGCAGAAACCUUGCAGAAAAGAAAGAAGCAAAGCAUGUCAGAUAUUACUCAAAAUGCUAGUGGGCUUCAGUGCAAAAGGACUUCUUCAGAUGGAAGCUGUUUGGACAGUUCCAGGGACAUGGGCUCCAGAACACUAUAUAAUUCGUCUUCAUUAAAUAAGAUAUCUAAAUCGGACGCCUCUACAGCAGAGAUAGAAAGAAAUGCUGUAUGCCACAGGCCUAGUGGUGGUAACAAUAGAGAGAAGAGAUCUCAUGUAGCUGUGCCAUCAGUGUCUAAGGGACUCUCCAUUCCUGUAAUUGAUUCACAAACGCAGACUACAGUUGCAGUAAGAACAUCGGGACCUCCAAUUGGUUACACCAUGCCAGGACAUAACACAAUUUCGCAACUGAGAGCAUGUUUUGUCCAAGGACAGCAUGAAAUAAGCGGGACCCCAAUUACAGAUCCUAAGAACGUUGCACCUAAACGACCUUAUUCACCAACCUCUAAAGGAAGUCAUUCACCUACAUCAGAAGGAUGCCCCAAAAAAACAAGGGAUGGAGAAAAGUUAACUGGCCAGGAUUCAGCAUUCAAAGAUGGUGGCAAUCCAGAAGAUGUCAGGAGAAGAUCUACAGAAAAUGGUGGCCUUGGAGGAAAACCCAUGCGGGUUCCAAUAAUCAACCCAUCAAGAUCACAGAGGCUUUCCAGUAAAGAACUACCGGAUUCUUCAUCUCCUGUUCCAACAAACAGUGUUCGUAUUAUUAAAAGAUCCAUCAAACUUACCCUUAACGGGUAACGAGUAUCUCUUCAGAUCCAUCUUUGCUUCCUCUGCAUUUGGACUGGGUGGUAAUUUGUUCUGUGCCGAUGGAGUGAAUAGCCCUGGGAGUUCUGAAACCAAAGGAGAAAUAACCUACCCUGUUCCAGUGUGUGGCAGCCUGACAAUCAGCCACUUACUGCGGGGAUGAUCCUGCUCACUCUCUGCAGUAUGUGCAACGGAGAGAAAUCUAAAAACUUUUGGCUACUAAGCAAGUCUGGCAAGCAUGUGUAAGUUCAAUCUUUUCAAAGGUUCAACACAUGCCCAGAUAUAUGUGGCUUUUCAAAGGAAGAGCAAAAAGUCCAAUAGCAACAGCAGCACAGCCUCUGUGCUAAAUUUCAUGUCCCUGUUUCUGAAAUGUGAAGAAGUUUCUUAAUAAAAGUUUUAAGAAUUCUUUGAAUAUAAUUAAAGCAGCAUAUGUUUCCCAUGACUCAUUCUUAGAAAUGGUUGAGUCAUUUUUGUUCUGUUUUUCCUAAAAAUCAGCUGGAGGCACAAUAUAUGUAAUCAUACUCCAAAGAAAAGUCUUUGGCAAACUUGGAGUAACUGAAAAUGUGUCCCUAAAAUAGGAAGUGCAUCUAGCCAUAACCAACAAAGUACGUUGAUAGUAAUAUGAUAAAAAUAAAACAUAGUACCUACUUGCUGCAGCAUUAACUAAAGCUAGAAUUUAUUUGGCCCCUGCAGUUUUAAUGCUGCUCCAUUUUUCUUCUGUGUGGUCACUUAGCAAGAACUGAAAGUUAUCAUAAGCACUAUAUCCAAGUGCGUGCACACAAAGAAGAAAAAAUGAGGUUUUGUGAAUCACUUGAUGUAUAAGUGCUUGGCUGUGUGCCUUCAGCACUGCUUUAGUUUGUUUGUUGUGAUUUUUGUCAGAUUGUUUUUCCUCUCAUUUCUUUGAUACUGAAUUUACAUUUUAUUAUGUACAGCUUUUUCUAUUACUUGGGCAGAAGGGCAUAAACCUGUCAUUGUGAGCAAUUCAACAGAGGUUUCUAAUAAAUAAGCUAAAGAAGUAUUGUUAUUUUAAUACAUUGCUAUAUUGUAUGUUUUCUACUCUCCCAAGUGAGGCAGGCAUUAGACUGUCGGGAAACUGAAAGCUGGUCCUGCUUCUGAAUUGUAUAUACAAAACCAGAAGUCUGUAAGUAUUUCUUGCAAGAGUUGUAGCUGGUCAUGACAUUCACUUCUGCUUUUGUCUAGAUGGUAUAGCACGUUAAUUUUCACCACUCAUUUUGAGUGUUUUUACAUGUCUUUACCAAUACUGUACCUUUUCUGCUAUGUAGGAUAACAGCCGUUGGUAGAGUGUGUAAAGCAACCUGGUAUAGGUUUUGUUCAGUAUGGUUACAGAAAAAAAAAUCCAGCCUGUCAAAUCAUGAACAAUAGGAAGAUCGUAGGUACAGGAUUUUCUGUAUAGUGAUUGUUUGCAGUAAUUCAGUUAAGAAAAUCAAAUGGGACAAAAAUAUGCCUCUGGGAGUUGUCUUUUGAGGAAAAUGACUAUGUUGCAAACAGGCAAGUACUAGCAAUGAGAAGGCAAGGGAAUCCCCUGUUUCUGUUCCCCUGUUCACCCACUAAAUAAAUCACUGGGUUACACCAAAUGAUAAGUUGCGUAAGUACAGAGAUGUUUACUUUCUGUAAUUAAGAGUAAAUAUUUGGCACAUGCCUGUAAAAAUUAUAAAUCUGUUUACUAAAUUAUGUUACUCUUACUGAAAUAAGUAAUCAACAGUGUGUUCUCUCCCAUUCUUACAUGUUGUGACUUCAAGUGGGGAAAAUUUAGCAAAGGUAACAUCUCAAUUUUCUCCAGACUGUGCUUAUUUAAAGUUGUUUUCAGUUCACCUUUCAGUAAAAGUAAGCUGAGGUGGAUUGGCCAGAAGCCCAGCUAUGGAGCUCAAAUAGAGGUUUGUAUGUUCAGACUCAAAUGUUGUGUGUCUUCAGCCUUAAAGGUCAUCCCUGAUCUCAGUGGCUGUGAUGUCAAUGGGGAAUCCCUGCUGCGCUUCUGUUUGUCCUUGUGUGAAGGUCUAAAAAGUCAAAAACAAAUAAAAAUAAAAGCAAAGCCACUGCUUAGCAAAGUUUAAGGCUUCACUAUAGAAACUAACCACAUGUUCUUAGUAUCUCCUAAGCAAGACUGUGUUACUUUAUCAGCUGCUGCUUGUAUGUGAACUUGGGUCUCUUCUUGGUCACCAUUCCUUUUGCUUAGAUUGUUUUGUUUUUCAACUACUUAUUAAGGGGAGCUUUUUUGAGCAACAUGGGAUGACCUUGUAUUUGUUAAGUAAUGGAUGCCGCUGACACCAGUGUUUAAGAUGACUUCUUAUCUGAAAUAACUGGACUGAGGAUGAACCACUGUGCCCACUGGUGUUUCCUUAUUUGUAUUAAGUUUUGUUACUAUUGUGCACUUUUUCAAGGCUUUCCCUGACACCAUGUCAAAUUCUUUUUCAACACUUAAUAAUUCUUCACAACAUUUCUGAGAAGUUUUUUAAAAUCUCUGUUUUAACAGGUAAGGGAUCUAAGGCAUAGGGAUUAAAGACUUAUGAAGGGUCAGACAGUUUUGUGGCAACACCAGAAACUGAAGCCAAAUUCCUUGAAUAUGUGAGACUGUGUUCUUUGACCCUUUUUCUUUAGAGUCAUGUUGUCCACGCUUGCAAAGGGGAUUCCCAGUACAUAAGAGUUACUGCAUCCAGCUAAGGACUGUUGUAAGUCUCUCUAGAGACUAUAACUGAAACCAACUGCUGAUUUUUAAGCCACUGCAUACGUGAUAGCCCACUGUUCUGUCUUAUUGCUUUUUUUUAUAAGCUUGCAAGUUAAACAACUUCUCAGACCUUGAUUACCUUCUUAAGAAGAAAAAAAAUCAGAGAUUUCUUUCUUGCUUAUUGUUGGUUCUCCACAAAAAAAGCCUCGUUAAGAGUUUCAGCACAACAUGCAGUGCCAUCGGACUGUCAGAUCCAAGUUAACACCUUACUAAGCGAUGGGUAAGUUCUUGUGUCUUACCCUUGUGGGGGUGGGUGAGGUUGGUAAGGAGGAAUCCCAAUAAUUCCUUAUAGUAGAAUUGCAAAAAAAAAAAAAUUACAUAUUUUCUAGGGAGUGACUGCUAGUUUCUACAGAAAAUGAAUGGACGCUAAGUGUAUGUCCUUUAAAAAAAAAAAAAGGCAAAAAUAGACUUCUGUGUAAAUUGUCUCAAUUGAGAUUCUUGAUUAGACACUCUGUUAGAGAUGUCUUUUUCUGCUGCUGAGCAGUUGCUGCAGCAUCGAACCAGACUUUCUACAUGAAAGAUGAAUGCAACUCCUAAGCGAUUGAAUACAUCUUUGCAGAAGUAUCAUGCCAACUGUUAUGAAAAACAGGAUAUCCCAUGACACUAUUCCAGUGCAGGAGGCACCGUAAGUAAGGUUGUACCUUAAAGCCACAAAGGCCUUGGGUAUCACAAAAUAAUGCUGAACUGCAUGAAUUGAAGAGGCUUUGUUGCUUGGUCAAACGUGAAUCCCUAAGAUGCGUGUUAAGUCCUGCAAGGCUGAGCAGCAUAGGACCUCAGUGUCGCCAGCUCACAGCCAUGAUAUCAGACUACUUUUAUUAUCCCACAUUUUAGGCCCAAAGUUAUCCCCCUUUAGAUUCACUGUUAAAAAUUACUCUUGGCUUCAGUAGAAGCCAAAUCCUUUUAUUUAGGAAAGGGUUGUAGCUACUGAGUUGAGUUGGUUGAAUUAUGAAUGUUAUGUAUGUGAACUGGUGUAUCGUUAUAUCUUUCUGAAUGAAUGCUAGAGUUUACAGCAGCUGCUGGUAGCCAUCUCCCUUACAAUACUUAAAUGAAUGGUAAGUUUGCAGGGCUGCGUAUUUUUAUCACUCAGACAAAAUUCCAGUCAACGCAAGUGGAAGCUUCGCCUGUACGAGAGGUGCGCGAUUGGGUUCUUGACUCUUAACUGUACUGUAUUGCUAUGAAUGUAUCAUUGCAUGGCCCCGAAUUUAAUAAGCUUAUUCCUGUAAUCAAAGCUUGUUCAGUGCAGUGAACAAGCACAACAAGCAUGCCUCCAAGGCCAAAGAAUGUGCUAUUGCUUAAUGAGUUGCUUAAGGCCCCUCAGAUAAAGGUGGAAGAAACACUCAGUUGAGGGAAGUUGCCAUAGUCCUUCUCUCCAGCUUUAGGAGUGUGAAUUUUCCUAGAUUUCCUGAAUAAAUCUGUUGAUCAGUCUUUGCUGCAUGAGCAUGUUAUGAACAAAGAUGGAUACACUCUUGUAAAGGGAACCACAGAGAAUUCUGAGUCCCCUCUGUCUUAUUGAGCCAGAACAGGAAUUUUUGAAUAUACCAAACUUCUGUUCAUAGAGCACCAUUAUGCAUGCUGCAGUAGAAAGCUCGGGGUUGGAAGACAGACUAUCUUUUUUUCGAAAAUUGAAAGAAUCAUGGGUCUUAUGAAGGGGAGGAUAUUGCAAAAGAAAGAGAACUGGAUGUGAUUGCUAGAGAAUGAAGUGGCUAUGGUUGCUAUUAAGGGGAAGGGAAAAAAAACCCCACUUUAGUCUGUUAAGCAGUAGCUACUUUGCCAUUUAUUGUUUUCAUAAACCAUAAUCAGUUUGCUUUUUAUCACUUUAGGAGGUUCUUGCCACCACCUUCAUCCCCGGCACACUCGAGUUCUCCUUUCCUGGCUGAAGACUUCUGCUUCAUCAGUUGUGAUCAUUAUUUCUGCAGGUUUCCUUUUAAUGGAAGCUUCUGGAAAAGGCACAGUCGUCUAUCUUUGGCUACUUUUUUUGAGACGUGAGCUCAAGACACCACAGAAACUAAAGCUCUCUGCUUUAUACAUGAAGAUCUUCACCCUCUUGUGCUGGAAGAAGCACGAAACCACACAAGUAUGACGAGCAGUUAGAAGCAGAUGUAGUGAGGUAUACUGGGAAGGCAAUAGUUUGCAUGCCCUUUCAGGAAAUCAUUGUAGUGACCACGAGGGGGCAUUUUAUUAAGACACCGCAAACCGAAGUGUAUUACUCAUGAUCACUGGGGGAGUGGCAUCAAGGCUUUUAAAGGACAAGCUGUUGUGGCAGCCAGGAGUAAAGCCAGUAGAACAGUAAUCAGGCACUUUUAUUUCAAAUCCACCUCCUCUUCAUUCCUACUCUUUUGAUAUUGGAACCUGUAAUGGUUAUCACUUCAUUGCCGAGGCUACUGCAACGGAAAAUUUUAGCUAGUGAUUACAUGUCUCAGCCUUUGUGAAACAGAUCAGUCAACAGGUUGAUUUUCAGCACUCCUGACUUGGCUUGCACCCCAGCGUCUCACUGGAGACUAAUCACAAGCGGAGCUACGACACUGGUGGCUUUACUAUAUAUAAUUCGUCUUUUCUGCAUCUGUGUGUUAACGAACCUUGCCAAUAAGCAGUUAUUUUAUAUUCAACUUUACAUAUGAUAUUGCCUUUCUAGACAACUCUAGGCCUUGUUCUAAUUAAUCCUUCUUGUCGCUGGCUUGUUUCUGUCACUUCUUGGGUUAGGCCUUCUCCUUCCUCUAGUUCCUGCAUUUGCUUGCCAGAAGAAGCUUGUGGUGGCAAUUCUUCCUUCACGUCUGUUUUGUUUCCAUUUAACAGGCCACGUAUCUAGACCUGUUUCUUCCACUGCGCAGGGCAAAGAAUACGUUCAGUUCCUUUUUCUCUCUCUUAAUGUGUGUAUUGUGCAACAGAUGUCUUGAAGAAUUAUUAUUUUUCCUGGCUUUUUGUUCCU